UACGAAGGGGGCUAGCGUUGCUCGGAAUCACUGGGCGUAAAGCGCACGUAGGCGGCUUUUUAAGUCAGGGGUGAAAUCCUGGAGCUCAACUCCAGAACUGCCUUUGAUACUGAGAAGCUUGAGUCCGGGAGAGGUGAGUGGAACUGCGAGUGUAGAGGUGAAAUUCGUAGAUAUUCGCAAGAACACCAGUGGCGAAGGCGGCUCACUGGCCAGGAACUGACGCUGAGGUGCGAAAGCGUGGGGAGCAAACAGG
rnacentral:rRNA from 1 species